AUCUUUGGUUCUCAAUUUUGUGCACUUCUUGCUUGCCUUGAACUCUGGAAACACCAUGUCGCGCAAUAGUUUAAGAGUUUCUGUGUUGGAAAGACAGCAAGAAGAGGCCGUUGGUGGUGGAUGAAAUGAACAAUGACAAAAAUCUCUUUCUCUCUCUCUCUCUUCUGUCUUGAGGGUAUGCUCAGGGUGUUGGCCAUAAUCAUCUUUCUCUUAAAACUGUCAUUUUUCUUUCCCUCCAUUUCUGAAAACUCCCACUCUUCAGACAGUUAAGGCCCACCCCUUCACUCCCAUCUGCUUGCCUCCAGAGGGCUAUAAACCAGUUCUGUGUGUUAUAUUGUUUAUACUUUUGCCUGCAUCACUAUGCUUUGCAAUGAAUUUUUCACAAAAAAAUUAAUUCAUGAUUGUGUCCUUACAAAAAGGGUUUAUCUGUAAAGCUAUAGUAUAUCUGAAACGGAGAAUAAAGAUUUUUAAUGUUUUGAA